UCCCUGGCGGGCGCUUACCAUGCAGUCGAACGAUGAAGACCGUGCUUGCACGGUUGGAUUAGUGGCGAACGGGUGAGUAUCACGUGAGUAACCUUCCCUUAACUCUGGGAUAAGCCCGGGAAACUGGGUCUAAUACCGGAUACGACCAGUCCUCGCAUGGGGUGCUGGUGGAAAGAUUUAUCGGUUUUGGAUGGACUCGCGGCCUAUCAGCUUGUUGGUGAGGUAAUGGCUCACCAAGGCGAUGACGGGUAGCCGGCCUGAGAGGGUGACCGGCCACACUGGGACUGAGACACGGCCCAGACUCCUACGGGAGGCAGCAGUGGGGAAUAUUGCACAAUGGGCGAAAGCCUGAUGCAGCGACGCCGCGUGCGGGAUGACGGCCUUCGGGUUGUAAACCGCUUUCAGCAGGGAAGAAGCGCAAGUGACGGUACCUGCAGAAGAAGCGCCGGCUAACUACGUGCCAGCAGCCGCGGUAAUACGUAGGGCGCGAGCGUUAUCCGGAAUUAUUGGGCGUAAAGAGCUCGUAGGCGGUUUGUCACGUCUGCUGUGAAAGCCCGGGGCUCAACCCCGGGUGUGCAGUGGGUACGGGCAGACUAGAGUGCAGUAGGGGAGACUGGAAUUCCUGGUGUAGCGGUGAAAUGCGCAGAUAUCAGGAGGAACACCGAUGGCGAAGGCAGGUCUCUGGGCUGUUACUGACGCUGAGGAGCGAAAGCAUGGGGAGCGAACAGGAUUAGAUACCCUGGUAGUCCAUGCCGUAAACGUUGGGCACUAGGUGUGGGGAACAUUCCACGUUUUCCGCG
rnacentral:rRNA from 1 species